CGUGCCUAAGCACACUCUGUGUGUUUGUAGGAGGACAAGUCGAUGCCAGCGCGUGGAACAGACUGCCACAUCUCUGAGCUACAGUCCUUGUUCUGAAGUUAUUUCCAACAGAGGAGCAAAAGCAUGGAGAGAGAUGGAAAUGGGGAAACAAAAACAAUGAGGUUUCAGCCUGGCCUUACUAGCAAGUAAUGAGAAUUACCAUCCUAUCGACGCAAGUUUACCGUCUCUAGUGAAGCCUGUCACGCACACAAAAACACCUUCAAAAGCAGCUAAGAUAUUUCUUACUGAAAACUAUCGAGUCUCCAGACUGAGAAAUGAGAAAACAAUUCUGGGGCUUUCUGGCAACUGGGGAGUUCUGCACAGAAGCUGACCCUGAGACACCCCUGGGAUAGGAGCUGUGAGAGGUGAUGGCAAAGGGUUUGGCACUGCACUGGCUGUAAAGCUUCUGGUGAUGGGCUGGAGAGAAGGCCUCGGCCUGGGA